AACGAACGCUGGCGGCAUGCCUAACACAUGCAAGUCGAACGAUCCCUUCGGGGAUAGUGGCGCACGGGUGCGUAACGCGUGGGAAUCUGCCCUUGGCUUCGGAAUAACAGUUAGAAAUGACUGCUAAUACCGGAUGAUGUCUUCGGACCAAAGAUUUAUCGGCCAGGGAUGAGCCCGCGUAGGAUUAGGUAGUUGGUGGGGUAAAGGCCUACCAAGCCGACGAUCCUUAGCUGGUCUGAGAGGAUGAUCAGCCACACUGGGACUGAGACACGGCCCAGACUCCUACGGGAGGCAGCAGUGGGGAAUAUUGGACAAUGGGCGCAAGCCUGAUCCAGCAAUGCCGCGUGAGUGAUGAAGGCCUUCGGGUCGUAAAGCUCUUUUACCCGGGAUGAUAAUGACAGUACCGGGAGAAUAAGCUCCGGCUAACUCCGUGCCAGCCGCCGCGGUAAAAC
rnacentral:rRNA from 1 species